rnacentral:tRNA from 1 species
GGUCUUAUAUUCAUGAAAAAUGAUAUUAGAAUGCAAUUCUAAAGGUAUAAAAUUGGUAUUAAGACUU